GGUUUAUUAGCAUCUUCUCACUUUGAGUUCAUACACUUACACGACUUCAGAAUCCUUCUCUGGACUGCAUGCCAAAUAUGCAUUACGUACUUCAGCUAAUUAUAUCACAGUCUCAAGAGCGGCAGGUGAAGUGAUGGACAGAGUGCUCCUAAAGAAAAACUGUACAUGAUUCCUAACCACUGUUGACAUUCCACAGACCCUCAGUGACUGGACAAUGAGGGAUGGAGAGCAAACAUGAAGAUCUUUUUAUCAAGCCUGACAAGAGAGCACAACCUUAAAAUAAUCAGGCAACUUAUUAACUCCAAACCCUCAGCUUUUGUUCUGGUAUAAAAAUCUCCCAACCUGCA